CUCCUCUUCGUCUUUUCUACAGUAAGUAUGCGGUUGUGUGUGUGUUUCUUUUGUGUCUGUUAUUAAGAACCUGACGACCCC
ensembl:ncRNA F34D10.10 ncRNA